rnacentral:sRNA from 1 species
AAAAACCUAAACAAUGUAAGCCCUACCUCUCAUACAUCCUCAUGCUCCGAAGCCAAUCCAGUGUGAAUAAGCAAAAAAAAUCUUAA